rfam:Chitinophaga ginsengisegetis strain DSM 18108 genome assembly, contig: LX61DRAFT_scaffold00002.2
CAGUGCAGAGUAGCUAUGUAUGGAUAGGAUAAACGCUGAAAGCAUCUAAGCGUGAAACCUGCUUCAAGAUGAGUUUACUUUUAAGGGCCGUCGGAGACUACGACGUUGAUAGGUUACAGGUGUAAGGGUGGUAACAUCGCAGCCGAGUAAUACUAAUUGCCCGUAAGCUUUAAUUUU